rnacentral:rRNA from 1 species
GAUCCUACGGGACGCAGCAGUGGGGAAUAUUGGGCAAUGGGCGCAAGCCUGACCCAGCAACGCCGCGUGAAGGAAGAAGGCCCUCGGGUUGUAAACUUCUUUUGUCAGGGACGAAGCAAGUGACGGUACCUGACGAAUAAGCCACGGCUAACUACGUGCCAGCAGCCGCGGUAAUACGUAGGUGGCAAGCGUUAUCCGGAUUUAUUGGGUUUAAAGGGUGCGUAGGCGGAUUUUUAAGUCAGCGGUAAAAUGUCCGGGCUCAACCCGGGCCGGCCGUUGAAACUGGGGAUCUUGAGUGGGCGAGA